GUGUAGCGCUGUGCGUGUCGCGUGUGAUGCGUGUGCUGUGUGUAGCGUUGUGCGAUCGUGCGUGCGGCGUGUGCGUGUGCGUGUGCGUGUGCGUGUGCGUGUGCGUGUGCGUGUGCGUGUGCGUGUGCGUGUGCGUGUGUGCGUGCGUGCCGCUCCACAUCGCCUCCGUGCUGCUGGCAUCGUGCUCUUUUAAAUGACACCUGGUUACGUGUGGUGCAGAGCGAGUGCACAACUGUUUUCAAUCCCCAAUCAUUGUUCAAUGAGACAUUCAAAACAGUCAGCAGACACAGUGCUCACAAAAAAAAA
rnacentral:scRNA from 1 species